AGCCAUGCAGCCAAAAAAAAAGGAAACGGACUCCCUUCUCUCACAAAAAAGCUCGAAGCCUCUCUCUCGUCUCUCCCGACGCGGCAGUGGGCAGAGCGACGGCGCCUCCAGCCGCCGGGGUGCCCCACCGCCGCCUCACCUCCUCUGCUUCCCCCACCACGGCACCGCCUCCUCUGCACCCUCUCCCUUCUGGAUCUCUCUCAUCGCGGAGUCUCCCAGCCGCAUAGUGGUGGUGUCCUCGCCGCGUUCACCUUCUUCUUCCUGGGCUCUCGUCGGUUCCGGACGUCCACGACCGGAUCGAAGGCCUCCAUGUCCGGAUCCGUUCGUUCCUCCACCGGAUCUGGCCUGGAGGCGUCUACUCGCUACGUCCGGCGUCGAGGGAUGCGGCAUGGAUGGGAACGUCCUGUGGAUGUGUACUUGCUACGUGGUGUUCAUACACUGCAGUUGAGAAAACUCUAGGUACAUGUUCUUCCUUGUUUCUAUUUUUUAGGCUUUUUCCCCAAAUCUAAUUCUGAUGCGUUUUGCCCAAAUCUUAUUCUGAUGCUUGGUUCUCUAUAUUAGUAAUGGUGAAACAACAGCUAAGGCUUAUCAACAGAGUUGAAAAGAGGGAAGGGGGUCAUACCUGAUGGGGAUGAAUGAGUGGAAUGGGUGGAGGUUGACGUCAAUCUUCCUAGUUUGUGCGUCUUCAUUUGUGUGAUCCAAAUUAUAGUCUAAAAAUCAAUAUAAAUUGCUAGGACCUGUCAGCGACAUAUGGUCUAUUUUUCUUGGUUUUAGCACCUACGGAGUACUCUCUGUUUAUAUAAAAAAUUGAUAAUUUUGAAUGGAGUGUAUGACACUCCUGGUGUACCUUCCAGCUGAGGAGGGCUAAUAAUUUGGCUUUUUGCUUUGUGCCUCUGAUCGACAUCCGUCAAUUAUAUCAACAGAUGCAUAUAUGUUUUCCUACAUGUUCUGUGUUCAGUACAAUGUAAAGCUCCUAUUUGUAGACUACAUGGUUGAACUGGGACUGGUAUACUCAUGCUCUGCCCUUGCCUUCAUGGCUUGGUGAUGUAUCUUUUUAUUAUUAGGCAUUGUUUGUGGUUCCUUUAAUAUCUUGCACGUUCAAGCUGAUGCUUUGAUUAUUUCUUUCAGGUUCCAUAUUCACUUAUUCAGUGCCGCACUAAUGCUUUGAUUGUUUCUUUCAGUUCCAUUCACUGUUUUUAAUGAAGCAUAUUUGAUGUUCCUGGCCAGUGGCGCUAGUCGGCUAUUUUCAUGGUGUAUAAUGGGAGUGUGCAGUUCAUCUUGCCCAUCAAAAUGUGAUUGUGAUUGGUUUAACUGUUGAUCUUUAAUGUUUGCUAAGUCAGAAUAUUUUCUUAGAAAAGAUUAUAAACCACGGACGGACCUUGCUGCAAACUGAUAUUUCAAAAUGCUUUAUCAAAUGCUCCACAAACGAAAGUUGGGACGUGACUAGCUAUUUUGGUUUGUACCUGUAAGGACCGUAAUUGUUUCAGGUGUGUUCACCUUUGUCAUUGCUGCAGAACUGGCCAGUCCCCUGAUUCUUGUUUUUUUCUGACAAGUAAUUCCAACAACUACCAAAAGGACAUGGAGAGAUUUCAGCAACUUAAGUUAUUUGCUCAUGACACCAAGAAUAAUUAGCUGCUAGCACUGUCUGUUAGGACUAUUAGUUUGGUGACAAAUGUCGCUUGUGAGACAGGGAUGUGAAAUAUCUAUUUGUUUAUUUUAUCUAAGAUACCUUUGUGACUAAGGUCAAUUCUUGAACAAAUACUUUGGUGUUUGCGAUGAAUGUAACAAAGAUGUUGAUAUGUGACUUGUGAACUUGUGUAUUUGAUCGUGCAUGGAAUAUAUUGUUGGGCACACAUGUUAUUUU